UACGUAGGGUGCAAGCGUUAAUCGGAAUUACUGGGCGUAAAGCGUGCGCAGGCGGUUUUGUAAGUUUGUCGUGAAAGCCCCGGGCUCAACCUGGGAAUUGCGAUGAAGACUGCAAGGCUUGAAUCUGGCAGAGGGGGGUAGAAUUCCACGUGUAGCAGUGAAAUGCGUAGAGGAUGUGGAGGAACACCGAUGGCGAAGGCAGCCCCCUGGGUCAAGAUUGACGCUCAUGCACGAAAGCGUGGGGAGCAAACAGG
rnacentral:rRNA from 1 species